rnacentral:rRNA from 1 species
GAUGAACGCUGGCGGCGUGCCUAAUACAUGCAAGUCGAGCGAACGGACUAGAAGCUUGCUUCUCUGAUGUUAGCGGCGGACGGGUGAGUAACACGUGGAUAACCUACCUAUAAGACUGGGAUAACUUCGGGAAACCGGAGCUAAUACCGGAUAAUAUUUUGAACCGCAUGGUUCAAAAGUGAAGGACGGUCUUGCUGUCACUUAUAGAUGGAUCCGCGCUGCAUUAGCUAGUUGGUAAGGUAACGGCUUACCAAGGCAACGAUGCAUAGCCGACCUGAGAGGGUGAUCGGCCACACUGGAACUGAGACACGGUCCAGACUCCUACGGGAGGCAGCAGUAGGGAAUCUUCCGCAAUGGGCGAAAGCCUGACGGAGCAACGCCGCGUGAGUGAUGAAGGUCUUCGGAUCGUAAAACUCUGUUAUUAGGGAAGAACAUAUGUGUAAGUAACUGUGCACAUCUUGACGGUACCUAAUCAGAAAGCCACGGCUAACUACGUG